UCCUGACUGACCGAUAGUGAACCAGUACCGUGAGGGAAAGGCGAAAAGAACCCCGGCGAGGGGAGUGAAAAAGAACCUGAAACCGUGUACGUACAAGCAGUGGGAGCACGCUUAGGCGUGUGACUGCGUACCUUUUGUAUAAUGGGUCAGCGACUUAUAUUCUGUAGCAAGGUUAACCGAAUAGGGGAGCCGAAGGGAAACCGAGUCUUAACUGGGCGUUAAGUUGCAGGGUAUAGACCCGAAACCCGGUGAUCUAGCCAUGGGCAGGUUGAAGGUUGGGUAACACUAACUGGAGGACCGAACCGACUAAUGUUGAAAAAUUAGCGGAUGACUUGUGGCUGGGGGUGAAAGGCCAAUCAAACCGGGAGAUAGCUGGUUCUCCCCGAAAGCUAUUUAGGUAGCGCCUCGUGAAUUCAUCUCCGGGGGUAGAGCACUGUUUCGGCAAGGGGGUCAUCCCGACUUACCAACCCGAUGCAAACUGCGAAUACCGGAGAAUGUUAUCACGGGAGACACACGGCGGGUGCUAACGUCCGUCGUGAAGAGGGAAACAACCCAGACCGCCAGCUAAGGUCCCAAAGUCAUGGUUAAGUGGGAAACGAUGUGGGAAGGCCCAGACAGCCAGGAUGUUGGCUUAGAAGCAGCCAUCAUUUAAAGAAAGCGUAAUAGCUCACUGGUCGAGUCGGCCUGCGCGGAAGAUGUAACGGGGCUAAACCAUGCACCGAAGCUGCGGCAGCGACGCUUAUGCGUUGUUGGGUAGGGGAGCGUUCUGUAAGCCUGCGAAGGUGUGCUGUGAGGCAUGCUGGAGGUAUCAGAAGUGCGAAUGCUGACAUAAGUAACG
rnacentral:rRNA from 1 species